CCUACGGGAGGCAGCAGUGAGGAAUAUUGGUCAAUGGGCGAGAGCCUGAACCAGCCAAGUCGCGUGAAGGAUGAAGGAUCUAUGGUUUGUAAACUUCUUUUAUAUGGGAAUAAAGUGAGGAACGUGUUCCUUUUUGUAUGUACCAUAUGAAUAAGCAUCGGCUAACUCCGUGCCAGCAGCCGCGGUAAUACGGAGGAUGCGAGCGUUAUCCGGAUUUAUUGGGUUUAAAGGGUGCGUAGGUGGUUAAUUAAGUCAGCGGUGAAAGUUUGUGGCUCAACCAUAAAAUUGCCGUUGAUACUGGCAGCCUUGAGUACAGUUGAGGUAGGCGGAAUUCGUGGUGUAGCGGUGAAAUGCUUAGAUAUCACGAAGAACUCCGAUUGCGAAGGCAGCUUACUAAACUGCCACUGACAUUGAUGCUCGAAAGUGUGGGUAUCAAACAGGAUUAGAUACCCCAGUAGUC
rnacentral:rRNA from 1 species